GGACAAAUAAUUAUAAUACAACAGUAACAGAAGAUUUAUAAAGCGAAGAUAGUUUUAUUACUAAUCGGCGAAGGUGAUAAUAAUAGGUUACUGGAAAUCAAGUGGCGUUUCUGGUUUGUUGACUGUUUAUCUUUGACUAGAAAAGUUGCUAAUAAGUUGUAAAAAGGAAAAGACUGCUGGGGCAAGCCAAAAACAAAAUCCUGCUAUCGCUGUGGAGAACCUUAAACAGGUUGGAGAAUUACUUUUGAAUUACUAAAGAUAAUAUAGACAUUGUUAUCCCGGUCUAUCUCCAGUAAAUACUGAGUGAACGGAUUAUAUUCAAUGGAAACUUUCAUGUCUCAACAAAUACCACAAAUUAUGAAAAAUCUUUCUUUGCUGCAAAUUUUUUUGAAUGUCUAGAAACGCAUGCCGAAACCCCAAAGUCCAAAAAAGUGAAACUAAAGUACAUUUGAAUCUUUCUUUUAUGAUUUUGAUAUAAACCUGCUUAAGUUUAGCUGUAUCUAUUAUAUAUUUAUAUUUCGCGAAUGAUUGUCUGUUUUUUAUAUACAGUAACGUAAACUAAAAUCUUUCAAAAUCCAAUGAACGAAGAAAAA